UGAACCUGCGGAAGGAUCAUUACCGAGUGCGGGCCCUCUGGGUCCAACCUCCCAUCCGUGUCUAUCUGUACCCUGUUGCUUCGGCGUGGCCACGGCCCGCCGGAGACUAACAUUUGAACGCUGUCUGAAGUUUGCAGUCUGAGUUUUUAGUUAAACAAUCGUUAAAACUUUCAACAACGGAUCUCUUGGUUCCGGCAUCGAUGAAGAACGCAGCGAAAUGCGAUAAUUAAUGUGAAUUGCAGAAUUCAGUGAAUCAUCGAGUCUUUGAACGCACAUUGCGCCCCCUGGUAUUCCGGGGGGCAUGCCUGUCCGAGCGUCAUUGCUGCCCUCAAGCACGGCUUGUGUGUUGGGCUUCCGUCCCUGGCAACGGGGACGGGCCCAAAAGGCAGUGGCGGCACCAUGUCUGGUCCUCGAGCGUAUGGGGCUUUGUCACCCGCUCCCGUAGGUCCAGCUGGCAGCUAGCCUCGCAACCAAUCUUUUUAACCAGGUUGACCUCGGAUCAGCCGUAGGGAUACCCGCUGAACUUAAGCAUAUCAA
rnacentral:rRNA from 1 species